UUAACAGCAAUGAAGCAGAAGAGUAGUUAAUUAAUCAAUACUUAAGAGACUUGGUGGGGCUGCGAACCAAGGCAUAUUAAUUAACGAAUUACACUGGGGAGCUGAAAUUGGGUCAUCACAAUAUCGAUGAAUGAGCUGGCUAUUUUAUGGCAAUAUGGGUGGUAACGCGGAAUUAAUUAUUCGUCCCUAAU
rnacentral:ncRNA from 1 species